ACACACGUGUUACAAUGGCAGGUACAGAGGGGUGCUACCGGGUGACCGGAUGCCGAUCUCGAAAACCUGUCCCAGUUCGGACUGGAGUCUGCAACCCGACUCCACGAAGUUGGAUUCGCUAGUAAUCGCGCAUCAGCCAUGGCGCGGUGAAUACGUUCCCGGGCCUUGUACACACCGCCCGUCAAGCCAUGGGAGCCGGGGGCGCCUGAAGUCCGGGACCGCGAGGACCGGCCUAGGGCGAAACUGGUGACUGGGGCUAAGUCGUAACAAGGUACC
rnacentral:rRNA from 1 species